rnacentral:rRNA from 1 species
GACGAACGCUGGCGGCGUGCUUAACACAUGCAAGUCGAACGGAAAGGCCCUGCUUUUGUGGGGUGCUCGAGUGGCGAACGGGUGAGUAACACGUGAGUAACCUGCCCUUGACUUUGGGAUAACUUCAGGAAACUGGGGCUAAUACCGGAUAGGAGCUCCUGCUGCAUGGUGGGGGUUGGAAAGUUUCGGCGGUUGGGGAUGGACUCGCGGCUUAUCAGCUUGUUGGUGGGGUAGUGGCUUACCAAGGCUUUGACGGGUAGCCGGCCUGAGAGGGUGACCGGCCACAUUGGGACUGAGAUACGGCCCAGACGCCUACGGGAGGCAGCAGUGGGGAAUAUUGCACAAUGGGCGGAAGCCUGAUGCAGCAACGCCGCGUGCGGGAGGACGGCCGUCGGGUUGUAAACCGCUUUCGCCUGGGACGAAGCGUGAGUGACGGUAAUGUGUAAAGAAGCACCGGCUAACUACGUG